UUCCAGAUCAGACAGACUGAGUGUUUCUGCAAACUGUUCUCUGGUUCUAAAGAAAGUCACAGCUGAGGAUGUUGGUCUUUACUCCUGCAGACAGUUUAUAUCAGAUAGACAGGAGGGUCCAGAUGCUUAUGUUCAUCUUUCUCUUGUUAACUUGACAGAAGAUCAGAACCAGAACAGGGUGACAUUAAGCUGCUCUGUGGUGACUGAUGAGUGUAAACACAGAGUGAAGUGGUUGAAUAAAGGUAGAGAUAUGGAUAAAGAAAACAAAGAACUAACAGAAUCAUCAUCUUCCUGCUCUGCUGCUGUCACCUUCCAGACAUCUCAUUUCUUUAACCAAGCAAGGUUUAAUGAUUUAAAGUGUGAAAUAAAGACAGAAGAUGAUAAAGUUCAUCUUUUUACCUUCAGCUCUCAUCCAUCAGACAAACACAAAACAAUGACCACAACAAACUCACGUACGGCGGAACAGGAGAAACAACAGUUACAGCUGAAUUCAAAGAAAAACCAGAGAAAAGGAACACAGGU